UGCAGUCGAACGCUUCUUUUUCCACCGGAGCUUGCUCCACCGGAAAAAGAGGAGUGGCGAACGGGUGAGUAACACGUGGGUAACCUGCCCAUCAGAAGGGGAUAACACUUGGAAACAGGUGCUAAUACCGUAUAACAAUCGAAACCGCAUGGUUUUGAUUUGAAAGGCGCUUUCGGGUGUCGCUGAUGGAUGGACCCGCGGUGCAUUAGCUAGUUGGUGAGGUAACGGCUCACCAAGGCGACGAUGCAUAGCCGACCUGAGAGGGUGAUCGGCCACAUUGGGACUGAGACACGGCCCAAACUCCUACGGGAGGCAGCAGUAGGGAAUCUUCGGCAAUGGACGAAAGUCUGACCGAGCAACGCCGCGUGAGUGAAGAAGGUUUUCGGAUCGUAAAACUCUGUUGUUAGAGAAGAACAAGGAUGAGAGUAACUGUUCAUCCCUUGACGGUAUCUAACCAGAAAGCCACGGCUAACUACGUGCCAG
rnacentral:rRNA from 1 species